rnacentral:rRNA from 1 species
AUGCUGAGAGUGAUCAGGGUGGUGUGGCCUGACUCAUACCACAGGCUGUGUGUAUGGCACAUUCGGCAGAACAUUGUACACCAUCUGCAUGACGAUGAGGUUAGGGAAGAAUUCAGAUCUUUCAUAUAUGACUCGUCUUCUAUUGAAGAGCAUGAGAUAAAAUGGAUAGAGUUCUUACAAAGGAAUGUAGUGAGAAGUGAGGAGUCGUUGCUGCAUCAGAUGUAUCAGAUGAGGAAGCUGUGGUGUGCUCCAUACCUGGUGGGGCAUUGUUUCUUAGGAUUGAGCAGCAAUCAACGUAGUGAGAGCAUCAACUCGGUGCUACAUACACAUCUUGAGGGUAAGAUGACAUUGUUUGAUAUGCUAGAGCACUAUGAGCAUUGCCUUUUGGGACGACGCUUGAACGAGGCGAUCCUAGACAUCGUGGCCUUAUAG